UACGGAGGGUGCAAGCGUUAUCCGGAUUUACUGGGUUUAAAGGGUGCGUAGGUGGAUAAUUAAGUCAGUGGUGAAAUCUUCAGGCUUAACCUGGAAACUGCCAUUGAUACUAUUUGUCUUGAAUACUUUGGAGGUAAGCGGAAUAUGUCAUGUAGCGGUGAAAUGCUUAGAUAUGACAUAGAACACCAAUUGCGAAGGCAGCUCGUUACACGAAGAUUGACUCUGAGGCACGAAAAGCGUGGGGGAUCAAACAGG
rnacentral:rRNA from 1 species